rnacentral:tRNA from 1 species
GCAGCGGUAGCUCAGCUUGGUUAGAGCGCCUGCCUGUCACGCAGGAGGUCGCGGGUUCAAGUCCCGUUCGCUGCG